rnacentral:misc_RNA from 1 species
GAUGAAGAACGCAGCGAAAUGCGAUAAGUAAUGUGAAUUGCAGAAUUCCGUGAAUCAUCGAAUCUUUGAACGCACAUUGCGCCCCCUGGUAUUCCGGGGGGCAUGCCUGUCCGAGCGUCAUUGCUGCCCUCAAGCACGGCUUGUGUGUUGGGCCUCCGUCCUCCCCCCGGGGGACGGGCCCGAAAGGCAGCGGCGGCACCGCGUCCGGUCCUCGAGCGUAUGGGGCUUCGUCACCCGCUCUUGUAGGCCCGGCCGGCGCUUGCCGACACAUCAAUCUUUUUUCCAGGUUGACCUCGGAUCAGGUAGGGAUACCCGCUGAACUUAAGCAUAUCAAUAAGCGGAGGA